rnacentral:rRNA from 1 species
AGUGAACGCUGGCGGUAGGCCUAACACAUGCAAGUCGAACGGCAGCACAGUAAGAGCUUGCUCUUACGGGUGGCGAGUGGCGGACGGGUGAGGAAUACAUCGGAAUCUACUUUUUCGGGGGGGAUAACGUAGGGAAACUUACGCUAAUACCGCAUACGACCUACGGGUGAAAGCAGGGGAUAUUCGGACCUUGCGCGAUUGAAUGAGCCGAUGUCGGAUUAGCUAGUUGGCAGGGUAAAGGCCCACCAAGGCAACGAUCCGUAGCUGGUCUGAGAGGAUGAUCAGCCACACUGGAACUGAGACACGGUCCAGACUCCUACGGGAGGCAGCAGUGGGGAAUAUUGGACAAAGGGCGCAAGCCUGAUCCAGCCAUACCGCGUGGGUGAAGAAGGCCUUCGGGUUGUAAAGCCCUUUUGUUGGGAAAGAAAAGCAGCAGAUUAAUACCCCGCUGUUCUGACGGUACCCAAAGAAUAAGCACCGGCUAACUUCGUG